AUGGUCCGCGUCCUCUACACAUGCGGGGACGCGAUGCAUGCGUGCAACCCCGCGACGCGGCGGUGGGCGACGGUGCCUCCGCCGCCCGUACCCUUUUUCCGCAACCACACGUACCUCAUGUUCGACCCAACGGUGUCGUUGCACUACGACGUGCUAUGCUUCCCUAACGUGCCUGAGAGGCCGGCGCCGCCAUAUCAGUCUCCCAAGAGACAUUGCAAGGCCAAGGAGGGAUCAUCAUGGACGAGAGUGUACAGCUUCAGGGAUUUUGAGAAAUUGCCGCCGUCUUUGAAAUCAGAAUAUCGGGAUGAGGUGGCCACAUUGGGCUCCGUGGAAUGGCCACCGCACCUAUACGCAGUGCAACUGUUCUCGUCAAGAACUGGCCAGUGGCAGGAGAGGCACUUCAUUCGACAAGGCGACGUGGCAGUGACAGUGGCAGACGUGUGGUCGGACCCACAUGCGCGGCAUGGACCGAGGGCCCUUCGACGUAAUGCUGUGUACUGGCGGGGAGCAUUCUAUCUCCAUUGCUAUGUUGACUUCAUCGUGAGGCUGUCAUUGCAAGAUCGAAAGUAUGCAGUGAUCAAAACCCCAGAAAUCCAAUGGGUAUUUUGGAAAAUCAAAGCAGAGGAUCUACUACACCGCUGUCAACGGGUACCAAAUUUCGGUAUGGGUAUUACAAGAGGCAUCAGAGACAUGUCAAACCAUAGAGUGGGCGCUAAGGCAUCAAAAUGA
rnacentral:rRNA from 1 species